GAGCUAGAUCAGCUAACUGAGGUGAAGUGCUGCUCGAUGUGCUCGCUCCUGCUGAUAGUGAAUCCAGUAUCAGUCUGAUCUUCCUCUCAAUAUCAAGAUCCUGUCAUUAAACCUGAGCAUAGAGCUCUCUACACUUUUCAAUCUGGAGCUCAGGUUAGACAAUAGCUGUAUCAAGGAAGAAAUGUGUGGCACGACUGAGAGAUCUGAAGAAGAGGCAGAAAAAGAACUCGAUUGAGGUGGG
rnacentral:lncRNA from 1 species